AUGUAUAAGUGUGUAUGAGAGUAUAUGUGUGUAUGUGAAUGUGUGUGAGAGUAUCAAUGAAUGGAAAUGUACAUGUUGACCUCAGUUCUUAGGAGCAAUGCUUCCUUCUGAUGCUUUUUGAAAAUUCAAAUUUGUAGGCCAUUCAUUUCUUCUUGUCCCAUAAUCUUGUUGCUAGGAGCAUUGGUUUCGCUAGGACUUAUGGGAGAUAAGUAUGUCUACGUAACAACUAAUGAGAAGCAAUAGCCAUGUUUUAGGAAUGACAUUGAUGUUCUGGAGAGGGUUCAGAAAAAGGGCAAUCAGAACAUGGAGACGACUGGAAUGCCCACCAAACACCGCCAUCUUCAAUAGCCUAAUUUAACCUGUUACAGCAGAAUUUAGAGAGAUUUAACUGGGAGCGGUGAAGACUUGGGGACUGAAGGAGACCUGAUUGUCAGUUUCAAGUAUUUGAAGGGUUAUCUUGUGAAGCAGAGAUUAAAUUUUUUUCUGCUUGGCUCCAGAUUGCAGAAGUAUAGUAUUGGGGAGGGGACCAGAAGAAGGAGAUAGACAAGGGAGAACAGAUUACAGAGGGGGUAGGUUUAUAGUUUUAAGGAUAGAAAAACUCUUUAACAACUGUACAAAAAUGAAAUGGCCUAUGUUGGGAGCUGAGAUGGAAACCAGCACUGGCCCCCAUGAGCUUUGCCCAAGGAUGCUGAGAUGAGUAGGGGGUAAUACUGACACACUUCUUCUCUCUAGGGCACCAACAUCCAAGGAGGUUCAGUUUCUCCUCAGGGUGGUCACACUGCAGGGAUAGGCAGAGGAUCACCCGGAAGAAGAUACAUACCCACCCACCUACCCGUCAUCACAACCCUGAAAAGGGUCAUCGAAGUUCAGUGGCAAGACAAAAGUCAAGAUGACUGGAAUCAGCCCUUUGGUGGAUUAUUCAGCCAACAUCUGAAGGACAUUGCCGAUAAUGAAAUUGGAUUAACUUUCUCCUCCACCUAGUUCAGACCCCACCAAAGUGGGGAAGAUUAGUUCUGAUUAAAGAGUAAAAAGAAUUUAAUCCAGGCAAA